rfam:Gossypium raimondii Chr06_contig_337, whole genome shotgun sequence.
UGUUAAAAUUUUUAUCUAUUUAAACUAUUAAAAAUUGAUGUGAUGUCACAUGUACCUCAUGUUGAUGUAUAUAAACCAUUUUUAAUAGUAAAAAUGGAUGAAUUUUUUAACC